AUUGAACGCUGGCGGCAGGCCUAACACAUGCAAGUCGAACGAGUGGCGGACGGGUGAGUAAUGUCUGGGAAACUGCCUGAUGGAGGGGGAUAACUACUGGAAACGGUAGCUAAUACCGCAUACCAUCAGAUGUGCCCAGAUGGGAUUAGCUUGUUGGUGGGGUAACGGCUCACCAAGGCGACGAUCCCUAGCUGGUCUGAGAGGAGGACCAGCCCCACGGGAACUUAGACCCGGUCAAGACUCCGACGGUAGGCAGCAGUGGGGAAUAUUGGACAAUGGGCGAAAGCCUGAUCCAGCCAUGCGGCGUGUUGGAAGAAGGUCUUCGGAUUGUAAAGCACUUUAAGUUGGGAGGCGUUACCAAAAGAAUAAGCACCGGCUAACUCCGUGCCAGCAGCCGCGGUAAUUC
rnacentral:rRNA from 1 species